GGAAGAAGGGGUGCCCGCUUUCAGGCGGCUGAGAGGAGCUUCGAGCUUAAACCCUUUGCCCUUUGGGGCAGGAACCUGAUCCGGAUAAUACCGGCGUAGGGAGCAUU
rnacentral:ncRNA from 1 species